rnacentral:lncRNA from 1 species
GGUAAACAGAUGGCGCUGGCCCCUGCGUUCAAGUCCCCGCCCGGAAUGCCCCGCGAAGUCGCCCGCGGCUGAAUCCGACAUGAGACCGGGUCUGGCUAUGUCCUGCAGGCUAGUAGUCUCAAACUCCCGGCCUCAAGCGAUACUCCCCACAUAACUGGGAUUACAGGAUCCAGCCAUAGCAUUCAGCUCAUUGAUUGAUUGAUUGAUUGAGUGCUUGCUGUAUGCCAAACCUGAGUUCCAGUUCCAAACAAGGCAGGCUCCAUGGCCACGCUCUCAGCUCACACUUCGGGAAACAGAGUCACCAGCGUCUGAAAAAAUAGGUCCACCCACUAUGGAUCAGACUGACUGGCCCUCCACUCCUCCUGAAGUGCUUCAAAACUGGGUUGGCAAACUGAGGCUCAGCAAGUCUGUCCUGUCUCCUCAAUUUGGUCACUGGAUGCUCAGAGUGGGAAGUCACCUCCUACCGCUGCCUAAGGCUCCAGGAGAGAGUCUCCCAACCAGGCUUCUGCAGUUCCCGCUGGAGAAGGUAGGGUGGGCUGUCAGCAGAGAAAGUGGAGAGUGCAGGGACCAGAGCACUACUGCAGUUCCUCAGUACCCCUCGUGCCCCUCCCAGCCCCUACCUGGGCUCAUUAACAGGAGG